GCCUCUGUAGCAUAGUGGUAGUGUGUUUGCUUCGUAAGUGAAAAGUUGUGAGUUCGAUCCUCUUCUGGGGCU
rnacentral:tRNA from 1 species